UACGGUGGGUGCGAGCGUUGUCCGGAAUCAUUGGGCGUAAAGGGCGCGUAGGUGGCCCGGUCAGUCUUUGGUGAAAGCGCGGGGCUCAACCCUGCGUCGGCCAGGGAUACUGCCGCGGCUCGAGCACUGUAGAGGCAGGCGGAAUUCCGGGUGUAGCGGUGGAAUGCGUAGAGAUCCGGAAGAACCCCGGUGGCGAAGGCGGCCUGGUGGGCAGUUUGGCUGACACUGAGGCGCGACAGCGUGGGGAGCAAACAGG
rnacentral:rRNA from 1 species